CCGGGAUCACGCCCUGAGCCGAAGGCAGACGCUUAACCGCUGUGCCACCCAGGCGCCCCAGCGAGUCUUUUCUGAGAGCUCGCUUUCACCUGGAAUAACUGACGCGCAGACUGAAGGGUUCCGACCUGCGGUGACGUGUACAUUUAUAAAAGCGGUCCCACUGGACGCUUGACAUGUUUGCAUCACGCAGCUUAAAUAGUUUCCUACAGAAUAGUUUAAAGCUUAGUUUCAUGGAAUUGAGACAGAACUCUUCAUUUUUACCACUCCUCCCCACCGAAAUGUGUGUGUCCUUUACUGUGACUCAAGCAGGCUUCCAAACGAGGUGUCCGAAGGCCGCUUUAGGAGAGGUAAGCGGGGGGCUCGGUCAGGGUUUCCAGGCGACUUGAACGCUUGUGCGGAGCAGCCCAGCGAGGGCCACGGGGGGCGCAGUCUCGGGAAAAGCUCAUCUGUUCAUGAAACUUCGCUUUUUAAAAGCCAUUAGUAUUUCUUCCAAAACAAAACCUUUAAUGUGAGAAUCUUGAGUUUUAUGAAAAUAAUGUAGUGCAAGGAUUUUCUUUAAGCUAACAAUUAAAAUCAAAACUCAAAAGGUCAGAGACCUGGGAGCGAGCCAGUGGUUCUAAUGAAGACCAGGUGUUUUGUAAAGUCUGGCAUUUCAAAUAAAGUGAAUAUCAGCACAAAAUCACAACAGUUACACCGCAGUUUCCGACUUCUUACUGAAUUUUUAAAAACCACUAGUUUGAGCAUGUGAGGAACACAACAAAUACAGUUGAGGAAAGUUCUAUGAAAAAA